AAAUCUUAGGAAAUAAAGAAUUAAAAUUAAAUGAAAAAUGGUUUUAAUCUUAAGAACGUUGCUUAGUUAAGCAACAUUUAUUUAUCUAAGCGGCGGACAGGUGUCACUCAGAGACAAGAGAAAGAAAAAAUUGCCCCGAUUUCAUUCUGUCGUUUACGCGUUUCUCUCUCUCUCUCCAUGAUGAACAUCACAGACAAGGAGGAGGAGACUAGGAAGAUCGAUUUUAUCAAUCUCGAUUGAAAAAAAUGUUUCGGAGAAUUUCCGGUUGUUGGAGGAGCUUGAACGUGGGGAGAAAGGUAUUGGGGAUAGAACUGUGAGCUAUGGAAUGGAUAAUGGAGAUGAUAUCUAUAUGCGUUCUUGGACUGGCACCACCAUUGGUCCUCACAACGUAGUUAUAUCUUUUUCUUUAUCUACUUUUGUCCUCAUAUCUGCAACUUAACUAUGUUAGCAAUUGUUUUAAGAAGCAUUGAUUAAAGUUCUAAGUUAUCUUCAUUACUAGUUCGAUUUUCCCUUCCUUCAUUGCUAGACUACAAAAAGUCAAAACCACAUUGUGUUUUAGGCAUCAAUCUUAUCGAUACAUGAUCUCUUACGCUGCA